GUUUAAAUAGUUUAAAAAUAAAAAAUUUUGAUUUGUGGUGUCAAAGAUGUAAAUUUUACUUUAAACC
rnacentral:tRNA from 1 species